GCGGGUGUAGUGAAGUGGUAUCACAACAGUCUCCAAAACUGUUUUCCCAGGUCCGAGUCCUGGCACCCGUG
rfam:Parcubacteria (Moranbacteria) bacterium GW2011_GWA2_39_41 TT50_C0007, whole genome shotgun sequence.